ACGAACGCUGGCGGCGUGCUUAACACAUGCCAGUCGAACGGAAAGGCCCUGCUUUUGUGGGGUGCUCGAGUGGCGAACGGGUGAGUAACACGUGAGUAACCUGCCCUUGACUUUGGGAUAACUUCAGGAAACUGGGGCUAAUACCGGAUAGGAGCUCCUGCUGCAUGGUGGGGGUUGGAAAGUUUCGGCGGUUGGGGAUGGACUCGCGGCUUAUCAGCUUGUUGGUGGGGUAGUGGCUUACCAAGGCUUUGACGGGUAGCCGGCCUGAGAGGGUGACCGGCCACAUUGGGACUGAGAUACGGCCCAGACUCCUACGGGAGGCAGCAGUGGGGAAUAUUGCACAAUGGGCGGUAGCCUGAUGCAGCAACGCCGCGUGCGGGAUGACGGCCUUCGGGUUGUAAACCGCUUUCGCCUGUGACGAAGCGUGAGUGACGGUAAUGGGUAAAGAAGCACCGGCUAACUACGUG
rnacentral:rRNA from 1 species